UUAAGGUUUUAAGUUAAUUUAAACUAUUAAUCUUCAAAAUUAAAAAUAUUUCUUUUAAACCUUAAUUAAUAUUU
rnacentral:tRNA from 1 species